rnacentral:lncRNA from 1 species
UGACAGUGGACAACCUUGGACAUAACAUGUUGUGCCGUUGGGAGUCAGAGACUUAAAGUUUGGUGCUUAGAUGAAUGGACAGAAAUGCAAUACAGGCUUUGUGGCUGUUUGGAAAAGCACAGGGCCAUACUGCUCUUCACUCUCAUCAGCAACUCGUGAGAAGAGGGCUCUGCACGUCUUUGCUAGAACAAGAUGACUGUGUGGAAUCAAAGAAUGAAGGAACCAGUGAUGGACUGGAGAACGAGGCAGAGAAACAGAAAGAAAAAUGGCAGACUUCACAUUGUAAAAGCCUUUGUCAACUACAGUUUGGCCUUUACCCUGAGCAGAGCAACCCUAUGAUCCUAUUUGUAUGUUAAAAAAAACAAAACAAAACAAAACUCAAACCUUCGGCUGGGUGAAGAGUCUACAGGAGAAGGGAAAUACUUUGUUACAGGGGAGUGGGGGAGAUAGGAGGUUGAAUGAAGAUACAGGCUAGGGUGGUGCUGGAGAGGAAGUGAGUUAGGGAGAGAUCCAGCAGUCACAAUGACAAUAGAAGAUUUGUUGGGUGGAAAGAGGAGAAAGAAGUCUGGAAUGUGUCUCUUUGGUUUGAAUAGAAGAGAGGUAACUAUAAUGAAGGUGGCUUUUUAAACUUGGAUUUGACCGUGGGUCAGUGUUCAUUCUGUGACGACCUGAGUUAGGUUUCUCUAUAUUCACUGGAUCCAGGAGGUGUGGCUCUAUCUGGGGUGCUGUAGCAGAGCUGAUGAGAUGCCAGUGUCUGCGAGUAGAACCCCCUCUGAAGACCAGUUGGCCAGCAGCACAGCUUUGGGAAUGACUAACUUUCCCAGGAUAUCUGAUAGGGUGUGCUCAGUGUCAUGUAACCACUG